AUGGCGACCGGCGCGCGGGUGAGUAACGCGUAUCCAACCUGCCCUUUACUAUGGGACAGCCCGUCGAAAGGCGGAUUAAUACCGUAUGUUGUCAUGUUGAUGCAUAUUUUCAUGACCAAAGGCUUCGGCCGGUAAAGGAUGGGGAUGCGUCUGAUUAGCUUGCCGGCGGGGUAACGGCCCACCGGGGCGACGAUCAGUAGGGGUUCUGAGAGGAAGGUCCCCCACAUUGGAACUGAGACACGGUCCAAACUCCUACGGAAGGCAGCAG
rnacentral:rRNA from 1 species